GCGGGCCAGGCCGGGGGUCCUGGGCAGGUCUGGAGCCCGAUAUGAUGGCCGCUGCGGACUUGUGUACAGUCAGGCGUGGUGGUCGUGCCCUUUCGUGUCCUCAGGUGGCUACUGUGACCCUCACCUCUCCUGCAUGCCCGGGUCGGACCAGUUCCGUCGGAUACGGUGACGUGGAGAGGGCACCUGGUCUCUCCGGCUCGGGUCUUCGUCUAGUGGGUGACACGUUAAUCAGCGUGCAGUUACCGUGGUCCUGAGGGAUGAAGGCCAAGGAACUUGGCGUAGACUGGAAGGCUUCCUGGAGGAGGUGACAGCCCCAGCGUAAUAUAGUGGAAAGGGGAAACUGGAGACAGACAAGCACACAGGGAGAACGAUCAUGAAACACGGAUGGCCAUCUGCAAGCUUAGGAGAGCGGCCUGGAGCAGACUCACUCCCUCAACGGCUCUGGGGGAAGCAGCCUCUGACACCGUGAUCCUGGACUUCUGGAUUCCAGAGCAGUGGGGAGAUAAAUUUGUGUUGUUUAAGCCGCCAGGUUUAUUUAUGGUUCCUGGAAUAGGCGCUAGAGGGGGCUGCAACCCAGACCUGCCGACAGGCCACUCACUGAGUACACGAUCACUGCCUCAGCAUCUGUUCUGUGUGGCCCGCUGCCUGCGGGGCCUUGAACUGACAGGAGCCCUCCCGCGAGUGCGUGACCUAGAUGACAGCCCGCAGAGUCACCAGUAAACCGAAGUUCCUGAUGUGACCCCCCCGCCCAACACCCUUGUGAUAACCUCUCUCCCUGUGGGCCCCAUAGAUUAAACCCCUGUGAAGCUCACCAAAACCCUGCUCCCUCUGGUUUGAACUGACCUAUCCAGCCUUAGCCCAGGAACCCCAAAGCACAGCCCUGUGGACCUAAUACAGGUGUGCGCCCCGGGUCCCGACUCCUGGGCACUCUGCCUGUACCUCCUCCAGGACCUGUGAGUCGUAAGCUUCCCUGUUCCGCUGUUUCUUGAGGUCUUUGUUGAACCACCAGGCAGCCUGGCCACAUGCCUUCUGACACUGCAGGCAGCACCCACAGGGAUGGAGUGACAGCCGGGGCAGCACCGGGAGAAUGGAGCAGACAGGAAGGGCAUUGCAAGGGAUGGGGAAAUAAAACUAUCAUUGGAACCACAGGCCAUAAAAGUAGGCUGGAAUUUAUACACUAAACCUAAAUUGGAUGACUUUCUGCUGAAAUAGAAGAUUAAUUUUUUGUUUGAUGUGGACCAUUUUUUAAAGUUUUUAUUGAAUUUGUUACAAUAUUGCUUCUUCUUUUUUUUUUUUUUUAAUAUAUUUUGGUGUUUUGGCCGCGAGGCAUGCGGGAUCCUAGAUCCCUGGCCAGGGAUAGAACCUGCACCCCUUGCAUUGGAAGGCGAAGUCUGAACCACUGGACUGCCAGGGAAGUCUCUGAAAUAGAAGAUUUAAAUAAAAUCAGGAUUCUUCUAACACAAUAACCAAAAUGUCCAGUAUACAGUAAAAAACCACUGGCCAUACCAAGAACCAAGGAAAACCAUUAUUUGAACAUGAAAAGAAGUGAACUGACGUGAACACCAAGAUAAAUCUUGGAAUUAUCUGAAAAGGAUUUUAAAGCAGUCAUAAAAAUGCUUUUAAAAAUGUUUAUGGGGCUUCCCGGGUGGCGCAGUGGUUGGGAGUCCGCCUGCCAAUGCAGGGGACACGGGUUCGUGCCCCGGUCCGGGAGGAUCCCACAUGCCGCGGAGCGGCUGGGCCCGUGAGCCGUGGCCGCUGAGCCUGCGCGUCCGGAGCCUGUGCUCCGCAACGGGAGAGGCCACAACAGUGAGAGGCCCGCGUACCGCAAAAACAACAACAACAACAAAAAAGUGCACAGAGCCUCAGAUCUGCAGGACAAUCGUUUUUAUCACCAGAGUCUCAGAACAGGAGGAGGGAGAAUGUGGGCUGAAAAAGUGUUUGAAGAAAUAAUGGCUGAAAACUUCCCAAAUUUGGUGAAAGACAUAAACCCAUAGGUACAAGAAGCUAAGGAACCCCUAUGUAGGAUAAGCCUUCUGAAAAUCCAUACUAAGAAACAUCAUAAUUAAAUCUGUGAGGACUAAAGACAGAAAAAAAAAUGUAAAAACAGCCAGAGAGAAAUGAUGUGUUCCCUAGAGAGGAACACCAGUGUGAAUGACAGAUUUCUCAUCUGAAAUCACAGCAGCCAGAAGGAAGUGGCAUAUUUUUUUUAUAUAUAUUUUUUAUAUCUGAUUGUUGAAGCAAAAACUAUAAUACUGGGACUUCCCUGGUGGCACAGUGGUUAAGAAUCUGCCUGCCAAUGCAGGGGACAAGGGUUCGAUCUCUGGUCUGGGAAGAUCCCACAUGCUGCAGAGCAACUAAGCCCGUGCACCAUAACUACUGAGCCUGCACUCUAGAGCCCAUGUGCCACAACUACUGAAUCCCAGGCGCCUAGAGCCUGUGCUCCGCAACAAGAGAAGCCACCGCUAUGAGAAGCCCGUGCACCACAACGAAGAGUAGACCCUGCUCUCCGCACCUAGGGAAAAGCCAGCACGCAGCAACAAAGACCCAAUGCAGCCAAAAAUAAAUCAAUUUAUAUAUAAAAAUUAUAAUACCGAUGAGCUCUGUGCACGUGGGGGAAAUAUUUACAAUAAUUAUAUUUGAAAAGUGAGGGUAAAGGGCGGUUUCUGCACUGCACUAGAUGUGAAACAUCGGUACCAGUAAACUGAUAAUUACAUACGUGCACAGGAGUGUGUGGAACAGCCACUAAGAAAAGUAAACAGUGAUAUACUCAAUACGUUACAAAGUGGAAUUCUAAAGGAUGUUCAAGUAUCCCAUAAUAUGGCACGAGGAAACAAACACAAAUAAUAAAAUGGCAAACUUAGCCUCUAUCAAUAGUUCAAAAUGUAAAGGGGCCAAACACACCAGUUAGAAGACAAAGAUUUGCAGAGGGAAUAAAAAACCACGACCCAACUAUAUGUCAUUUACCGUAUGCUAAAACUCACUUCAAACGUAAUGAUGUGGGUAGGUUGAAAGAAAAAGGAAAAAGACAUCGUGUAAACAUUCACUUAUAAAAAGCACAAUGACUAAUAUCAGCUAAUUUCCCUUCAGAGCGAGGGAAAUUUCUACAGAAAAGGAGGUGCAUUGUAUAAGAAUAAAAGGAUCCAUCCACCAGGAGGACACAUAGCAAUCGCAAAUGCUUAUGACCCAAACAACAAACCUUCAAGAUACACGAAGCAAACACUGGCAGAGCUGAAAGGAGAGAGACCAACCCCCAGUUCCAGGUGAGGACCUCAGCGCCCACUCCACAAGUGCUGGAACUACUAGACAUUCCACAAGGACACAACACCAUCAACCAAAGGGAUCGGUGGACAUUUUACAGACCCUCCACCCAACAGAGCAGGAUGCCCGGUAUUCACAGGUGCCCAGGGACAUGCCAGGAUAGACUAUCCAUAAAACAGACCUCAGCAAAUGUAAAAGAAGUGAAGUCACAGAGAGCAUUUUCUCUGACAAAAAAUGGAAUCAAACUAAAAAUCAGUAACAGACAAUCUUCAAACGUGGAAAUUAACUCGGUUCUACUCAGAAAUAAAGAGGAAGGAACUAUCGAUACAUGCAAGAACUUGGAUGCAUCUCUAGGGGAUUAUGCUGAGUAAAAGAAUACAAUCAUACCAGAUACCAAUAGUGUGAUUCCGUGUGUAUAACAUGCAUGAGAUAAUUACAGAGAUGGGGGACACGUGAGUGGUCCCCAGCUGUUAGGGGUGGGGCUGGGUGCGACUACACGGGUGGCAGAAGGAGCUUGUAUAGUGAUGGUGCUUGAGUGUCCUGACUGUGGUGGUGGCUACAUGAGUACUUAGGGGGUAUCUGGCCUCUUGUCCCGUCCCCAUUCUUCCAGACUGAAUAGAAUAAGCAGGGGCAGUAGAACAGGGGGACCAAGGAGAGAAAAGUCUUUAUCUGAGCAACAUGAAACAGGAACAAGAAGCUACAUAAAAGAAGCUGCGUAAAAGGUGGAUGAUAGAAGCAGAUAAUGCUAAUUUCUGGUUAGUACACGUCCUAGAAAAAGGGAUAAUCAAAAUGGGGCAGAGAAGGUAUUCAAAGGGAUAACCGAGACAUUUGCCAGAGUUAAAAGUGAAAGACCUUCAGAUUGAAGGAACUACACAGCACCAGUGAGGCACACGUAUUGACAUGUUGUGAAACUUAGGAAUACCAAAGAAAAACAGGAGUUUGUGGGAGACUGCCAGAGAGAGAACAGGGUGCCUUCAAAGGGACAAGAGUCAAACUGAUGUCAGAUGUUUUUCUUUAGUUCCACAAAUACUUUUGUAAUUGCUUCCAGGGGCCCGUUUAGGGUAAAAAAAAAAAAAAUGUUGAUUUGUUUUUCCCCAACAGGAAAAUAUACGGACAAAUCUGAACACAGUAAAGGAAAGGAAAUGAUAAAGGUUAGAACAGAAAUUAAUGAAACAGUAAAACGAACAUACAUACAACACAGAUUAUUAAAACCAAGAGUUUAUUCUUUUUAAGGGCUAAUAAAAUCGAUAACCCACCUGUCAGGACUGACAAGGAAAAAAGAAGUUCAAAAGCACGAAUACCAACAUGAGGGUAAAAGUUUAUCAUGAAAGGUUCUAAACAUUAAAAAGAUACUAAAGUAAUAAUACUUUAUGCCAAAAAAAUAUAUGAAAUAGAGGAAAUCCUAGGAAAACAUAAUUUACUAAAAUCUCCACUAGAAGAAAUAGAAACUCAGAAUAGUCUACUACCUAUUAAAGAAGUUGAAUUUAUCAUUUCAAAGCUUCCCACAAUAAAGGCUAUAAUCACAGAUGGCAGCAAACACUUCAGAACACUUAAUAAGGAAAUAACUCCAACCGCCAAGUUGUCUUCUAAAGUGCCUGUACCAUUUUGCAUUCCCAGACAGUAAUGAAUGAGAGCGACCAUUGCGUCACAUCCUUGCCGCAAUUGGUAUUGUCAAGUUUUUUUUGAAUGUUAGCUAUUCUAAUGGGUCUGUAGUGGCGUCUUGUUGUUUUAUUUGCAAUUCCUUAUGGCGUAUGAUGUGAAUCUUUUCAUAUCCUUGUUUUCCAUUUUAUAUCUUAUUUAGUGAGAUGUACGUUCAGAUCUUUUGUCCAUUUUUAAUUGUAUUUAUUGUUGAGUUUUAAGAUUUAUAUAUUUUGAUACGUCUUAUCAGAUAUAUGUUUUACUAUUUUCUCUCACUCGGUGGCUUUUCAUUUUCUUAACAGUAAUUGGCAGAGCAGAAGUUUUAAAUUUUAAUAAAAUUCAACUUAGUUUUUUUUUUAAAAAGGAAAUAACUCCAAUCUGAAAAUAGGAAGAGAGAACAUCUCCCAACUCAUUUUGUGGAGCCGGUGUCACAGCCUUGAUCCCAAAAAGUGAGAGGGAAAUUACAGAAAGGAAUAUUAGAGAUCAACUUUUUUCAACACAGAUGCAAAAAUCCUAAACAAAAUCUUAACAAAUUAAAUCUGGAGAUAGGCACUUUAGAAAGGAUAAUACAUUGAGACCAGACUGAGUUUAUUCCAGGAAUGCAAGUUAAUUUUUUAACAUUAAAAAUUAAUGUGAUUUACCACAUUUUUAAAAACAUAAAUAAAUUUAUUUAUUUAUUUUUGGCUGAGUUGGGUCUUUGUUGCUGCACACAGGCUUCUCUAGUUGUGGCGAGCGGGGGCUACUCUUCGUUGUGGU